rnacentral:lncRNA from 1 species
UCACCUUCGGUUUCCUUAUUCAACAAUGCUUGAACACUUUCUCUCCAUUGAAGAAUGGUGAUCUUUUGAUUUAUUUCAACUCAAUUACAUCGGUUGUUGAAACACUAAGGUAAAGUUAAUCUAUAUAUAUAUAUAAAUGAAAUGGAUUUGGGCUAUGUGGCCUUCGUAUUUGGCCAUCUAGGCUGAUGUGGCAAUUUGGUUUAGGAGGGAAAUCCAUUUUGCUUUCUACAAUCAUGAUUCCAAGAAAAAAGAGGCGGGAUCCGAAUUGAGUUGGGUUGGGUUUUUUGAAUUCGGGUCAUAGUAUAUAUUUCCUUUUUUUUUCUCAUUCUUCUUGCACACACUUUACAAACCCUAAAAAACUAAGUUGCAUCCUCUCUCCUAUCACCACCACCAAGAUCCUCAAUUCUAAACCAUAGCCAAACCUCUACAACAUCAUCUUCUUCACACAAAUCAAUCCUAUUAACCAAUCAAAGGUAUGUUUCUAUGUUUUUGAUUUUAUUGUUUCUGAUUUCUUUGUUUUACGAUUGUAAUCUACACAAUCGAUCCUAAAUCUGCUUUAUUUAUGUUAUUCAAUUCUAUAGAAACUUGAUUUUAUAAAGAUUGUGUCGAAUGCUAUUAACUUCUUCUUUGUCCUAAACUUUGUAGAUCUGAUCAUAAAAAUUGAAGGUAUGUUGUUUUAAUUUGUUGUUUAUCUAUUGUGUAUCUUUAAUCAAGCGAUUGAACAUUUAUCUUUUUGUUUUUUUGCAAACAAAAUCAAGAUCAGAGGUUUUAUUAUCAUCAUCUACAUUUAUCAAAGUUACUGAUUUUUGUUGAUUUUGUUUUUCAUGUGGAACCCUAAAUCUUGGAUAAAAUCGGACUCCGAUCAUUCGUGAAACAACAGAGUUAUGGAUCAUGAAAACAACGCUCCUUCGUUGUUAAAGUUGAUUGAGGACUAUGAUCCUAUAUUUUUCGAAUUGUUCGUCGACCAAAAACAGGUUUGAUUUUAUCCUUUCUGUUCGGUAUUUUUUUUCAAAAAUUAAUAACAUAUGUUCUGAAUGUUUUAUGGUUUGUUUUUCUCAUGGUAAACCCUCAAUCUUUUGUGACAAUUGGACUCGAAUUGUUCGUCGACCAAAAACAGACCCUAAAUCUUGGAUAAAAUCGGACUCCGAUCAUUCGUGAAACAACAGAGUUAUGGAUCAUGAAAACAACGCUCCUUCGUUGUUAAAGUUGAUUGAGGACUAUGAUCCUAUAUUUUUCGAAUUGUUCGUCGACCAAAUACAGUUAUGGAUCAUGAAAACAACGCUCCUUCGUUAUUAAUGUUGAUUGGGGACUAUGAUUCUAUAUUUUUGGAAAUACCGUAUGAUUUUGCAACCUUAUUGUGGGGAGAACAACUUCCAUAUGUUAAUGUCUUAAAAUUAUUGAUGAUGAUUUAUCGUGACUCAUUUAGUUAUAAUUUUUGUAUUUAGUUAGUUGUUAAUUCUUUAAAGAUGCAUUUAAUUUCAUUUUUAAAGCUGUUUUUGUUUCUAUAAACAGAUUACUGUUGUUAAAGAUGAUUUUUAUAUUCGGAAUUAUGAUUCGGU